rnacentral:rRNA from 1 species
CCUACGGGAGGCUGCAGUGAGGAAUAUUGGUCAAUGGGCGGGAGCCUGAACCAGCCAAGUCGCGUGAGGGAAGACGGUCCUAUGGAUUGUAAACCUCUUUAGGCGGGGAGCAAUGCCGGGCACGUGUGCCCGGCGGGAGAGUACCCGCAGAAUAAGCAUCGGCUAACUCCGUGCCAGCAGCCGCGGUAAUACGGAGGAUGCGAGCGUUAUCCGGAUUUAUUGGGUUUAAAGGGUGCGUAGGCGGAUUUUUAAGUCAGCGGUAAAAUGUCCGGGCUCAACCCGGGCCGGCCGUUGAAACUGGGGAUCUUGAGUGGGCGAGAAGUAUGCGGAAUGCGGGGUGUAGCGGUGAAAUGCAUAGAUAUCACGCAGAACUCCGAUUGCGAAGGCGGCUCUCUGGACUGUAACUGACACUGAGGCACGAAAGCGUGGGGAGCAAACAGGAUUAGAUACCCGGGUAGUC